UACGUAGGGGGCAAGCGUUGUCCGGAAUUAUUGGGCGUAAAGAGCGCGUAGGCGGUCCGAUAAGUCGGGGGUGAAAUCCUGGGGCUCAACCUCAGAAUUGCCUCCGAUACUGGCAGUCUCGAGUGCGGGAGAGGUGAGUGGAAUUCCCAGUGUAGAGGUGAAAUUCGUAGAUAUUGGGAAGAACACCAGUGGCGAAGGCGGCUCACUGGCCCGUAACUGACGCUCAUGCACGACAGCGUGGGGAUCAAACAGG
rnacentral:rRNA from 1 species